rnacentral:rRNA from 1 species
AAAUUGAAGAGUUUGAUCAUGGCUCAGAUUGAACGCUGGCGGCAGGCCUAACACAUGCAAGUCGGACGGUAGCACAGAGGAGCUUGCUCCUUGGGUGACGAGUGGCGGACGGGUGAGUAAUGUCUGGGGAUCUGCCCGAUAGAGGGGGAUAACCACUGGAAACGGU